rnacentral:rRNA from 1 species
CACAAGCGGUGGAGCACGUGGUUUAAUUCGAAGCAACGCGAAGAACCUUACCAGGUCUUGACAUCCCCUGACAACCCGAGAGAUCGGGCGUUCCCCUUCGGGGGACAGGGUGACAGGUGGUGCAUGGUUGUCGUCAGCUCGUGUCGUGAGAUGUUGGGUUAAGUCCCGCAACGAGCGCAACCCUCGACCUUAGUUGCCAGCAUUCAGUUGGGCACUCUAAGGUGACUGCCGGCUAAAAGUCGGAGGAAGGUGGGGAUGACGUCAAAUCAUCAUGCCCCUUAUGACCUGGGCUACACACGUGCUACAAUGGGCGGUACAAAGGGUCGCGAACCCGCGAGGGGGAGCCAAUCCCAAAAAGCCGCUCUCAGUUCGGAUUGCAGGCUGCAACUCGCCUGCAUGAAGCCGGAAUCGCUAGUAAUCGCGGAUCAGCAUGCCGCGGUGAAUACGUUCCCGGGCCUU